GGCGGUUACAAGACAUUUAUUAACAAUAACAAAACAUUCAAUGACAAAGUAUUAUUUUGCAACAACAUACUAGUAAACGUAUCGUUUUAAUAUUUGCCAACAAUCGUAUAUUUGGCAAGUACAAUCCCGUGAUGCAAUUGGGCACUAGCUCCAAAUGGGGCGAAAACGGUGCAAAAUGGUGCGUAAUUAUUUUCGCGAUAUUGGAUUAUUUAAGUAAACAUGGCGGAAAAUGAGAGAGCUUCGGCGUCAGAUGAUAUUCAAUCAUCUCUACUGCAGGCUAGAUAUAUAAUUGUACAGCUACUGGAUGGUGUGGCCAAUUCACCACAAAAUACAUCUGCAAAUACUGCAGCUGGUCUCUCAAAAUUUCAAAUUUUGGUCUACUAAUUGGCAUUGACCUUAGGAUGAUUCCCAAUGUUUCCGGUCCGUAAUUUUCUUUAUUCAAAAUAGGACGUUGUAUGACAUCUACGAGAAGUCUGGCCUGAUGUGGCAAUUCGCUGUAAAUUUCGGGAUUUCGUGCUGUCAGAUUUGCUAGGCAUCGAUAAAGGUCUUCCGAAAAAUCGCGAAUACGAUCAAUAACAUCAUCAAGCUCUGUUGAAAGGCAUUCCGUUACAUCAGUCAAUAACAUUUCCAAUCGCGUUUAAGAGCUGUUCGUACUCCGUUUUCUUCGAUAUCUUGAUCGCCAUUUUGUGUGAAAAUAAUUACGCGCCAUUUAUGCACCGUUUUCGCGCCAUUUGGAGCUAGUGCCCAGUUGCAUCACGGGAUUGUACUUGCCAAAUGUACGAUUGUUGGCAAAUAUUAAAACGAUACGUUUAUGUUGUUGCAAAAUAAUACUUUGUCAUUGAAUGUUUUGUUAUUGUUAAUAAAAGUCUUGUAACCGCC